AUGAACGCUGGCGGCGUGUCUAAGGCAUGCAAGUCGUAAGCUUGUAGCAAUACAGGCUUGGCAAACGGGAGAGUAACACAUUGGCAACUUACCUUGAGGACGAGCAUAACCCCGAGAAAUCGGGGAUAAUUCUCGAUAAGAUUGAGGGGACAAAAGUCAUUCUCAAUUAAAGCAGCAAUGCGCCUCAAGAGGGGCCUAUGUCCUAUCAGCUAGUUGGCGAGGUAAAGGCUCACCAAGGCUACGACGGGUACCGGGUGUGAGAGCAUGACCCGGCUCACUGGGACUGAGAUACUGCCCAGACUCCUACGGGAGGCUGCAGUCAAGAAUCUUCCUCAAUGGCCGAAAGGCUGAAGGAGCGACGCCGCGUGUAUGAUGAAGCCCUUCGGGGUGUAAAAUACUUUUCUUAGUGAAGAAACAAUGACGGUAACUAAGGAAUAAGGAGCUGCUAACCUCGU
rnacentral:rRNA from 1 species